AUUCAAAUUUCUGUUCAAGAUUUCUCAUAUAUUUAUUAUAUUAUGAACCCACUUAAAAGUGGUAUAUAUGAAGACGUUUCUGAAAAAACAGGCUUAAAUAAGAUAGGUAUACUUGUAUUAUUUUGUGAAACAAAACAACACUUAUUGAUUACAGGCAAAGAGUGUUUAUUGAUCAGUAAGUCCGGCCCUUGAAACUACGAGUGAACAACAUCGUACAUAUGCCUCAGCAACAUGUAUCGGUGCAGCAGGUAAAGAAGUUCGCAAUGCAGCAGACGACCGCGUCGCUCUCUGUAUGCCCUAUAUAUCAACCAAAGCAAACAUAAUCAGAAUAUUCAGAGUACUAUGCGUUGAUGAAUGACAUAAAAAUCGACGGAAGAAAGUCACCUUUACGAAGAGGCCAAGCCGCCGGAGACGAGGCGGGCAUGGCCACACUUGACGGCCUAGAUGCAGCGACUGACGUGGCAGCAAAUAGUAGUAGUAAUAAUAACAAUAACACAUUGCCAGUUACAUUAAUCUUCUGUUUCCUCUCCAUAUGUAUAUAUAACUGGGUUUUGUGUGUUCAAAGUGUUCUUGGAAUGGUUAUCAGUUACCAUGGCUAUUUAUAGAGACAUAUGCAUGUUAGUUAGUUCCCUAGCUUACAUGGAAACCUAGCUUGUUUGGUACUUUGGUUGGGUAAGGAGUAUGAAAACUGUUGGUUUUCUGCUCUCGUUUGUUUCUCGUGAAAAUGAAAAUGAAACGUGUUUCUUGUUUUCGUCGGGAGCUAUCUUUAAUAAAGAAAAAUUAGUUAUAAUAGGGCAUUUUAGAGGUAUCGGUACCCUCUAUGCUAAAAGUUUUACAUUUUGAAGGUUUAAAAUUCAAAAAAUAAAUCGUAAAGUCCUUACAGUAAACUCUAAACACACAAAAAAUGAUGCUAAUAUUCUAAACACUGAACCCGAACCCUCAAGCAAACUACAUCAUAAACCCAAACUCUAAAUCGUAUCAUAGACUCUAACUUUCGAUUAUAAAUCAAAAUUAAUAGAUCCGAAACCCUUAUAUUUAACUCUAACCCCUAGUAUUAUAUCUUAAACCCUAAAUACGAACCUACGACCUUAAAAACGUAUUUUUAUAACAUAAAAUAAGGCAAAACAUUGUAUAAAAGGUACCGGUACCCUAAGAGUACCGAAACUUUUUCCGUGAAUAUGAAUAUGAUGAUCUUUUUGAAACAAAUCAUACCAAAUUGCUUUGACCAGCUUGUCGUUUUUCAAUGGAAGAUUUAAUGUGUCGUACGCUACCAUAUAUAUUGGUACAUAGAAUUAUAUACAACGUAACGUUCUAUAAUUAGGAUGUAGCACUUGUUGUUUAUAAGUAUUUACAUUUGUAGCUGUUAGGUUUUUUGGCAACGACAAAAUACAUACGUUUGGAAAAAAAUGAAGGGACCUAAUCCACAAAAUGAAUGAAUAUAAUGAGGAACUCUUAUAUGGAAGAUCGGACCGAAAUUAGGAUGAUCAAAGACUUUAGACUAGAUAUUAUGUUUAGAGUAAGUUUAAAAGUUAAUAUUGAAAUUUUGUCACUUUAGAGUUUAGAGUCAAGAUAUAUCUUGGGCGGUGGCUUAAGUUGGGUCUACCUCUAGUUCCGCCAUUAAGGCAGAUUGUCAGACUCAAUGACCUGUGAAAAUUGAACGCCAAUUGGUUUGGUUUAGAAAAGAUUGAACCGUUCAUGAGUUUGGUUCGAUAUGCUGAAUUUUAUAAGGAUUUUUUUUCAAUAGAUGUGAAUUCGAGUAAGGUCUUUGACAUCCGACUCCAAAUCGAGGAUGAUGAUUGAUGAUCGAGACGGUUCAGAAUUUCAUACUCACACCCAAACUUGAUUCGACGUGACAAAUCCAAGCAAUCCAAAGCGAACAAUAGUUUGAUUGUUCUCAGCCCGUGGGGAUCCUAGUCCAAAAAGUGAGUUUGGUUCGAUACGGGGUUAGCCGGAGACUCAAAAAAUUUCUUGUAGAACGUCCACCGACACCGUUUUAGGAUCCGCGUGACCGCUUGGGCCUUGGCAAGCUACCAGACACUUACGACUUCUGAGGGCUGGCUUCUUGGGCCGAUUUUAUGCCGAUCAAGCAGCUAAUCUUUGGGCUUGGCUUGUAGUUUUGUUAAAAAAUAGACGCCCUAACGAUAAAGGUACAAUCAUCGCUUCAUGGUAGUAGACGUAAGUAUUAUGUAGGGUCACCGCUUCACCUGAGUGUACGACAGCAAUCACCAUUUUUAUUGUCUUUUAAAUACAUAUAUUUUUACUCAUCUACUCUCAAAUCACUCGUAAACCUCCCGCCUAUAGAAUUUAACUCGAUUGUUCCAAGUGUUUUUAAUAUCAUACUUACAAACGGUCCGAUUUGUUGGACUUUAAGCCACCCGUUCAAACGGUGUGGUAUAAUUUUCUCAUUUUGAUACAUGCUAUGGUAUCCUCAAGGGUGUGAACAGUCCAACACCCCACGUGUGAAUACAUCUAUACGUCAACAAGGCACCGCAUCCAGUUGAUGUCAACAACAAUGUAAAGGGUGUGUGUACCUUGGGGCAUCGAGUGUCCAGUAUUACCGGGCUAUACACACUUCUACGUGGCUGCCAACAAGGCGCCAUCAUACCACAUAGAAGUAUGCGUAUCCCAAAACUACAAUAGUAAUUGUUUAUAGUUAUUAUUCGAUCGCGUUCCGCCAAAAUUCUGAUAAUAAUUGUCUAUAUUAUUAUCUGUUCCCAUUGCACCAGAACUGAGAUAGUAAUUUUCUACCCUUGUUAUUCGAAGUCCUUCCAACUACUUGUCAUUACUUAUCGGGAUCCGAUUAUUAUUAUUAUUCUGUUUUAUGAAACAACACUUUUUUGGUUACAACCAAAGAGUGCUUAUUAUUACAUAGAGUCGAUCUUUGAGCAUCGUACGGUGAACUCUUAUGCAUUAGCAACAAGUACUUGUGCAGCAAGUAAAAAAGUUGGCAAAGCAGCAGACCACCGCGUCACUCUCCGUGUGUACUGUCACGGAAACAUAUACAAUAUCCAUGUUAAUGAAUGAUAUAAAAAUUAAUACUAUUACGAUGAAAAAAGUAGGUUUGGUAACGGUUUAAAUAAGUGACGAUUAGUACAUAUUUAUUGCCUAACCGUUUUAGUAAUAAUUAUAAUAAAAAUUCACCAAAAUUGACCGUUUUGGUUUUAAUGGUAGUCUCACGUAGCAUGCAUGUACGGGUGGGUGCGGCAUGCGGGUGGAUAGUACAGUAUCCAUCCCUAACCCACAUCCGAAAUUUAACUUCGACAUGUUUAAAAUGGGAUGGGUUUUGUGUGUUUGUAUUGACAUCCUUAAAAUAUACCAUCAUUAUAUUGGACGGGAUUGUGAUUUUAACCGUCGAUUAUUAUUAUUAAUCAAACAAACCAACCAAGUGCUUUUUCGAUUUAUUGUUGUAAGCAGAUUUCUUUAACAUGUUAGUGAAAAUUUGUUGAGAAAAAUAAUGAAUUUGGGGUUUUAAAAUUGAUUAGUUAGAUACUUCUCAUCUAUAAAAUGACAUCAUUUUACAUUAAUAUGUCGAUUAAAUAGCAUGAUGUCUAUCAAAUCAUGACCACACCCAACAUCAUAAACUUUGUGGUAUCACGAAGACUGCACCGGAAACCAAGCAAACGGUUUCGAAACCGUUUUGACUGGCUCGAUUUCGGACCAGAGGAAGAAGUCACCUUUUUUAAGAGAGGACGCCGGAGACGAGGCUGGCAUGCCGGCGGCCACACUUGACGGCCUAGAUGCAGCGGCUGACGUGGC
rnacentral:lncRNA from 1 species